rnacentral:snRNA from 1 species
UUAAUAAGACAUCGAUUAACCCUGGCAAAUUAAAACUAUAAAGAAACGAUUAGCAUGGCCCCUGCGCAAGGAUGGCACGCAAAUUUAUGAAGCGUCCCAAAUUUUU